CAACAAGCUAAAGUAGCUGCAAAAGAUAAGAAAAUACAAAAGCAUAAAUUCAAGUUCAGCAACCUGGGAGCAUCAUUCAGGAGGCUUGAGCAUGGUUUGGAUCGAGCUUAGCAGCCUCAAGAUCAGCAGCUUUCUUCAGAAAACUUUGGUCAUCAUCCUCAAGAACCAUCUGGAUAGGGCAAGAUCCCAAUCCAUCAGCAAUAGCAAGCAGAAUCUUCUUCAUCUCAGAUCUGAACUCCUGGAGGUCAACGGUGCCGCUGCCAUCGCAAUCAAACCUCUCGAAAAUGGAGUUGUAAAGCUGAGUGAGCUCGUCGGGGGGAGUGGCG
rnacentral:lncRNA from 1 species